AUCUGUUAAUUCAGAAGAAAGCUAAAGAGAUUGGAUCUAGUCCCGAAAUCUUAUGAGCAUGGCUGUUACUCUUUUGAUGAAAGGGGAGCAUUCUGCCAAAGCUGUUAGUGAUUGACAACUAAUAAUCUACUAAUCCUAAUGGGAGAAUUCGCAGAUAGUAUGUCCUUCGACGGUCAUGAAUGGGAAGAUAACAGGAUGUUUGGAUCGUUAAGAGACAUUUUUCUUCAGAGAAUAUGCAAGAUGAAAAAAUUUUGUAAGUUUCUAACGAUGGAAAUCCUAUAAAAAAAUAAAAAGUAGUAAUCCCUUCUA